UACGUAGGGUCCGAGCGUUGUCCGGAAUUAUUGGGCGUAAAGGGCUCGUAGGCGGUUUGUCACGUCGGGAGUGAAAACUCAGGGCUCAACCCUGAGCGUGCUUCCGAUACGGGCAGACUAGAGGUAUGCAGGGGGAGAACGGAAUUCCUGGUGUAGCGGUGGAAUGCGCAGAUAUCAGGAGGAACACCGGGUGGCGAAGGCGGUUCUCUGGGCAUUACCUGACGCUGAGGAGCGAAAGCAUGGGGAGCGAACAGG
rnacentral:rRNA from 1 species